rnacentral:rRNA from 1 species
UACGGAGGGGGCAAGCGUUGUUCGGAAUUACUGGGCGUAAAGCGCGCGUAGGCGGAUCUGCAAGUCGGGGGUGAAAUCCCGAGGCUCAACCUCGGAACUGCCUUCGAUACUGCGGGUCUCGAGUCCGGGAGAGGUGAGUGGAAUUCCUAGUGUAGAGGUGAAAUUCGUAGAUAUUAGGAAGAACACCAGUGGCGAAGGCGGCUCACUGGCCCGGUACUGACGCUGAGGCGCGAAAGCGUGGGGAGCAAACAGG